rnacentral:rRNA from 1 species
AAGGCGCGCGAUACAGGGUGACAGCCCCGUACACAAAAAUGCACAUGCUGUGAGCUCGAUGAGUAGGGCGGGACACGUGGUAUCCUGUCUGAAUAUGGGGGGACCAUCCUCCAAGGCUAAAUACUCCUGACUGACCGAUAGUGAACCAGUACCGUGAGGGAAAGGCGAAAAGAACCCCGGCGAGGGGAGUGAAAAAGAACCUGAAACCGUGUACGUACAAGCAGUGGGAGCACGCUUCGGCGUGUGACUGCGUACCUUUUGUAUAAUGGGUCAGCGACUUAUAUUCUGUAGCAAGGUUAACCGAAUAGGGGAGCCGAAGGGAAACCGAGUCUUAACUGGGCGUUAAGUUGCAGGGUAUAGACCCGAAACCCGGUGAUCUAGCCAUGGGCAGGUUGAAGGUUGGGUAACACUAACUGGAGGACCGAACCGACUAAUGUUGAAAAAUUAGCGGAUGACUUGUGGCUGGGGGUGAAAGGCCAAUCAAACCGGGAGAUAGCUGGUUCUCCCCGAAAGCUAUUUAGGUAGCGCCUCGUGAAUUCAUCUCCGGGGGUAGAGCACUGUUUCGGCAAGGGGGUCAUCCCGACUUACCAACCCGAUGCAAACUGCGAAUACCGGAGAAUGUUAUCACGGGAGACACACGGCGGGUGCUAACGUCCGUCGUGAAGAGGGAAACAACCCAGACCGCCAGCUAAGGUCCCAAAGUCAUGGUUAAGUGGGAAACGAUGUGGGAAGGCCCAGACAGCCAGGAUGUUGGCUUAGAAGCAGCCAUCAUUUAAAGAAAGCGUAAUAGCUCACUGGUCGAGUCGGCCUGCGCGGAAGAUGUAACGGGGCUAAACCAUGCACCGAAGCUGCGGCAGCGACGCUGAUGCGUUGUUGGGUAGGGGAGCGUUCUGUAAGCCUGUGAAGGUGUGCUGUGAGGCAUGCUGGAGGUAUCAGAAGUGCGAAUGCUGACAUAAGUAACGAUAAAGCGGGUGAAAAGCCCGCUCGCCGGAAGACCAAGGGUUCCUGUCCAACGUUAAUCGGGGCAGGGUGAGUCGACCCCUAAGGCGAGGCCGAAAGGCGUAGUCGAUGGGAAACAGGUUAAUAUUCCUGUACUUGGUGUUACUGCGAAGGGGGGACGGAGAAGGCUAUGUUGGCCGGGCGACGGUUGUCCCGGUUUAAGCGUGUAGGCUGGUUUUCCAGGCAAAUCCGGAAAAUCAAGGCUGAGGCGUGAUGACGAGGCACUACGGUGCUGAAGCAACAAAUGCCCUGCUUCCAGGAAAAGCCUCUAAGCAUCAGGUAACAUCAAAUCGUACCCCAAACCGACACAGGUGGUCAGGUAGAGAAUACCAAGGCGCUUGAGAGAACUCGGGUGAAGGAACUAGGCAAAAUGGUGCCGUAACUUCGGGAGAAGGCACGCUGAUAUGUAGGUGAAGUCCCUCGCGGAUGGAGCUGAAAUCAGUCGAAGAUACCAGCUGGCUGCAACUGUUUAUUAAAAACACAGCACUGUGCAAACACGAAAGUGGACGUAUACGGUGUGACGCCUGCCCGGUGC